CUUGUUUGAAUCGAAACAAUCGUAUUAGCGUCGCGUCGUUGGUAGAACUGAGAUCAUCAUAACCGCGCCUGUAAGAAUUCGAACGAGCACACACAGCUGCAUAUCUCGCACGAACAUAUCUAAAUUAAAGGUUAAAUAAUUGGUGCACUGAUACAUCGAAUGCAAAAACGAUCUAAUAAACCCGCAUCAAUCUAAAAAAAAUCGGUACGUCGAUCCGAAUCGAUUGUUUCCUCUCGAUAUAAUCGAAAUUUGGUGAUCGAGUGGCGCUCGAGCAAAUACGCGAGCGAGAGGUUCGUGCAUGCACCUGGUCCCGGUCAUUAAAAAUAGCUUGGAGGUAUUAUUGACCCGAGUAUCUUACAUUUUGGUAGAAAGCCUUACUUUGAACACCUGACCCGCGAUCUUCUUCCGAAGAAAAUAUAGGCAUCAUCGGGACCAGAAUUGUGCAGCGUUUAAUGCAGCAGUGGAUGAUUAUAAUUGAAAAUUUGAUUAUCAACUGCGAUCGAUGAGUAGCAAUCGAUAUCGAAUGCGACGUCAACGAGAUCAACGAUCGAUACACGAGUGUACCUCCAUUAACGUCAAAGUUCAGCAUGGCAGUAAGGGUUUCGCAGUACGUUGCCGGACUGUACGAGUUUGAAUUCAAAUCAUAAAUAAGUUUGUUCCUGAGGAAUAUGAACAAUUGUGUGAUUACAAUGAAGAAAUCGUCUACACACGUUCGAGCGGUAGCGUUCCAGUAAGAUCGGAGUCAAUGAGACGGAACAGCAAGUCAUCGUGAGAAGACGAAUCGCGGGAAAGAAACGGGUGUCAUAGACAAGGCACGGGAUGAUUCUGAAGCGGGUGCAAAGGAAGAAAGGAAA